UUUUUUUUUUUUAAAUGCCCAUACAGAAUAAAGGCUGCCCUUCUCAGCCUCUCUAGUGGUUACAUGUGGCUAUGUGACUCUGUGGUAGCCAGUAGGAGGUAAGCAAUAGUAUGCUGUGCCACUUCCAGAAAGUACCUUGAGAAAGGAGUGUUGUGUCCUUUGACCCUUGCUCUGUGUCUUGUUGGCCGGAAUGAGGAUGUGAUGGCUGGGGCUAAGGCAGCCACUUUGGAUUGUGAGGACAGUGGCUGCACCAGAGGGAUGAGGGGGCUGUGAGUCUGCAGAAGCCUGUAACCUGGUAACCUGGAGGAACUGUCCCACACAGCCUGGACUGCCCACUGCCAGACUCCUGCAUGAGAGAAGAAACCAUGGGUUUCAGUCUGCGUGUAUUUGUUUUUGGUCUCUCUUUGUUGAUCCUGACCCUAAUGUUAUCUCCAGAGUGAUUUUUCGGCUGUGCUUCAUCUCUGGGAGCCUGAGGCCUCAGAGUGUGAGGGAGUGGGGGUAGAGGUGGGUCCCCCUGGAGCCCAAAUGUUGGGAUGGUGAAUUGAGCCACUUAGCAGAUGAGGGCUGGGUGCUUCACGCAGUGCUGGUGCACAGGCAGAGGCUCUGCCGAGGGCUGGGCCCUGAUCCUAGGGGAUGGUGGGUGUCUCAUCGCAGUUAGGGCAGCAUCUAGCUGUGGUGGGGCCGGCAGCGAUCUCGCAGGGGAAGAGCCUAUGGGCCAGUGAGGCUGCCCUGCAUGGGCUGAGGAGGAGGCAAGACUUGAUUCACUUGGACAGGUUGGGGGGACACAUGGCCAGACCUUCUGGACCCGGGUCACUUCUCAGGGGCUGGAAAUGGUACUCCUCUGCUUUCCAGGGGAAGUAGGGGUAUCAGGGCUGCAGCUCCCACCUUCUUAUCCUUCUGUGCUCAGCCAUGCUGCUGAGAGAGAAAGAGAGACACAGACAGACAGACAGAGAUACAGAGAGACAGAGGGAGACACAGAGAGACACAAACAGAGAGAGAGGGAGAGACACAGUGAUAGAGAGAGAGA
rnacentral:lncRNA from 1 species